GCUCCUCGGUGAGAACUGCUGCUGCAGAGCCUGGCAAACUUCUUCAAGUCUCCAAACGGGAGAAGUGGGUACUUAGGAGGUAGCAGGGCAAUAUCGCCUCGUUCUCCCGCCCGCUGCAAGAUUCCUCCCUAUGCAAGGUUGCUAACCUCCAGGUUCCACUCCCAGAUCUCCAGGAAUGUCCCAACCCAGAGCUGGCAAUCCUACUCUUCAGGGCAUAUCCCUACCUGCACGCCUUAAAGGCACAACACGUUUUUCCAAAGGAAAAUGGUCCCAUCUUAUUCCAACAGACACACACACAGGAUAUCGGUGUGUGGCGCAUCUGAGCCAGAACUUCCACAGGUGCCACCCUGCAAAUGAGCAAAAUCAAGAACUACUCGUGCACGUGCGUUCUCUGUUGUGCCACACCUUAUAAAAUUGCCUGCCUGACGACUUCAGGAAGGCUCUCAAUCUAUGCAAAACUGAAUUAACCAGGAGCGCUUUCUAAAAAGAUGAUACAAAGCAAACUUCCAGCAAUGACAACAUCCAAAUGGAGCAAAACCAACAUACAUGCCCAUAUGCAUAACUCUUGUGCUUUGGACCCUUUUCAGAUUGGUUUCAGGAUGGACUAUGGGAUGGAGACAGUUGUGGUGACUUUAGUUGAUGACCACCAUCUGAAUGUAGACAAAGGCCAUGCAUCUUUGUUGCUCCUCCUGGAUUAUCUGCAGCCUUUGAUACAGCAGAACAUGCAAUCCUGCUGAGGCGUUUGGAGGCAGGCGUAGGUAUCGGGGGAUGUGCCUUACAUUGGUUUCAAUUGUUUCUCAUGGAACAGUGUCAGAAGGUUGCUGUUGGUGACCAGCUAUCUUCAGUGCAAUAUCUUGUGAGAUUCCACAGGGUGCAGUCUUAUCCACCAUGUUGUUUAACAUUUAUGUAAAGCCUUUAGGAGAAAUAAUUCAUAGCUAUAGAAUUACGUGUCAUCUGCAUAUUGAUGACAUCAAUAUGCAGAUGACACCUAAACCUAUAUCUCACAAUCCAAAUCCCCUGGUGAUGCAGUAGAAGCUUUGAAUCGCUGCCUGACAGCUGUGAUCAAAUGGCUGAAAGCAGAAAAAGUACACUGUGUUCCCACUUCCACUGGUGUUCAGUUGACCCUUACAGAUUCACUUAAUAGCCUAGGGGUUAUACUGGAUCCAGCAUUGCUGCUACUGAAGCAAGUAAAUGCAGCUGCAAAAAAUGCUUUUUUCCAACCUUGACACUUCGAUCCAUGCCACAGUAACAUUGAGGCUAGACUACUGUAAUGCUGUCUUCAUAGGUCUCCCCUCAAAGUCAGCAUGGAGACUCUCAUUGGUGCAGAACGCUGGAGCUCGAAUAUGAUUAGGAUCUAGGUGAAGCAUGCAUAUUACUCUCAUGCAGUCAUUCCAUUGGCUACUCAUCAAUUUCCAGACUAUCGCAUACUAAGCCCUUCAUGGCCUUGAUCUCUCGUAUCUGCGGGACAGUCUUUCUCCCACAGAAGAUUCAUUCAUCUGAACAUGGCCUUCUGCAGGUGCCACCUGCAAAUGGGCAAAAUCAACAACUGCCUAUAUACAUGCUUUUUCUCUUGUAGCCCCCAACUUAUGGAAUAGCCUGCCUGAUGAGUUUAGGAGGGCUCCCGUUCUCCUGGCUUUCUGCAAACUUUGCAAAACUGAAUUAUUCAGGAAGUCAUUUUUACACAGGUAGGAAGCCUAUACUAUAAGGAAACAGUUCGGAGAAACGUUUGGUAAAGGGACAGGCACAGUGGACUACUGUAUACUGUAUGUUGCUAUAAUUAUGUUCAUACUGUGUAGCUUCUGCAUAAUUUAAUAUGUCAUGUUAAAUUGUUUGUGCUUUCUUUUAGCAUUUUUCCAUCUCGGUAUUGGAUUUCUGCUUGUUUUGAAAUUUAUGAAAUCCAUCCUCUGUUGUGUUGUUAGUGAAUGCAGUGAUGAUCACAUUCUCUGACACUGUAUAAUCUACCUUGAGUCUCAGUGAGAAAGGUGGGCUAUAAAUAAUAAAA